rnacentral:rRNA from 1 species
GUGCCAGCAGCCGCGGUAAUACGGAGGGUGCAAGCGUUGUCCGGAUUUAUUGGGUUUAAAGGGUGCGUAGGCGGCCUAUUAAGUCAGUGGUGAAAGCCCAUAGCUCAACUAUGGAACUGCCAUUGAUACUGAUAGGCUUGAGUACAGACGAGGGUGGCGGAAUUGAUGCUGUAGCGGUGAAAUGCAUAGAUAGCAUCAAGAACACCGAUUGCGUAGGCAGCUAACUAGGCUGUAACUGACGCUGAGGCACGAAAAGCGUGGGGAGCGAACAGGAUUAGAUACCCUGGUAGUCCACGCCGUAAACGAUGAUUACUCGAUGUUGGAGAUAAACUGUCAGCGUCUUAGCGAAAGCAUUAAGUAAUCCACCUGGGGAGUACGCCCGCAAGGGUGAAACUCUCAGGAAUUGACGGGGGCCCGCACAAGCGCGGAGCAUGUGGUUUAAUUCGAUGAUACGCGAGGAACCUUACCUAGGCUAGAAUGCGCGUGACCGAUCCAGAGAUGGAUCUUCCCUUCGGCGCACAAAGCAAGAGCUGCAUGCUGUCGUCAGCUCGCUCGUGAGUGUUGGGUUGAGUCCGCAACGAGCGCAACCCAUAUCUUUUACUUGCCAGCACAUUAUUGUUGGGGACUCUAAAGAGACUGCAUGCGCGAGCACUAACCGAGGUAGGGAUGACGUCAGUCAUCAUGUCCUGUACGCUUAGGGCUAGACUAGUGCUACGAUGAACUGUACAGAGAGUCGCUAUCGUCGUAACAGGAUGCGAUCUCAAACACACGAUACUCAGUUCGGAUCGAGGUCUGCAACUCGAACUCGAUUGAAGGUGGAGAUCGGC